UACGAGGGGUGCAAGCGUUGCUCGGAAUUAUUGGGCGUAAAGGGUAGGUAGGUGGUCUCAUUUGUCUGGGGUGAAAGCCUUGAGCUUAACUCAAGAAGUGCCCCAGAAACGGUGAGACUCGAGUCCUGGAGAGGGUCGUGGAAUUCCCGGUGUAGCGGUGAAAUGCGUAGAGAUCGGGAGGAACACCAGAGGCGAAGGCGGCGACCUGGACAGGUACUGACACUCAACUACGAAAGCGUGGGGAGCAAACAGG
rnacentral:rRNA from 1 species